GCCGAAGUAGCUCAGUUGGUAGAGCAACUGAUUUGUAAUCAGUAGGUCGCUGGUUCGACUCCAGUCUUCGGCU
rnacentral:tRNA from 2 species